GCAGGAUUGUAAGGAGUGCCUGCUGUCUUAUAGGAGUAUAGUGCCGCCAUUCAGAGGAGUAUCGCUUUCACCGAUUCCCUCCUCCUCUUCUUCUUCUACCUCCUCUUCCUCCUUCUCAAUUCACAGAGACUCUCUCAGAGAGAAGGAGACAGAGUCGCGGGUUUUCAUCCUCCAGCUUCCUCAAAUGAACACUGUGGUGCGCAAAUCGACGAUCUAAGUUUGUUCGGGAAAACUGAUUUUGUUUCUGAUUUGUUUGGACGUUUUUGAAGGAAAGUUGUCGUUGUGUUGUAUCAUCGUGAACUGCUAGGAAGAUGCGCUCGUUUUUAUUGAUUGUGAUAUCGUGCUGCUUGCUCAGGGAAACAUUGUCUAUAGCAACCAAAAGAGAAGCUCCAGGCGGCUACAACUAUCCUAGACCCCAAACCCCGGUCUCACUAGGAGGAGGGAGCUCUCCACCUUCCACCAGCU